AAACUGAAGAGUUUGAUCAUGGCUCAGAUUGAACGCUGGCGGCAGGCCUAACACAUGCAAGUCGAGCGAGAAAGGCCUUCGGGCUGAGUACAGCGGCGGACGGGUGAGUAAAGCGUAGG
rnacentral:rRNA from 1 species